UAAUACGUAGGGUGCGAGCGUUAAUCGGAAUUACUGGGCGUAAAGCGUGCGCAGGCGGUUUCGUAAGACAGAGGUGAAAUCCCCGGGCUCAACCUGGGAACUGCCUUUGUGACUGCGAGGCUAGAGUACGGCAGAGGGGGGUGGAAUUCCACGUGUAGCAGUGAAAUGCGUAGAGAUGUGGAGGAACACCGAUGGCGAAGGCAGCCCCCUGGGCCGAUACUGACGCUCAUGCACGAAAGCGUGGGUAGCAAACAGGAUUAGAUACCCUGGUAGUCCACGCCCUAAACGAUGUCAACUAGGUGUUGGGUGGGUAAAACCAUUUAGUACCGUAGCUAACGCGUGAAGUUGACCGCCUGGGGAGUACGGCCGCAAGGUUA
rnacentral:rRNA from 1 species